GAUGAACGCUCGCGGCAGGCCUAACACAUGCAAGUCGAGGGAGAAGCCCUUUCGGGGGCAGAAACCGGCGCACGGGUGCGUAACGCGUAUGCAACCUACCUUUCACAGGGGGAUAGCCCGAAGAAAUUUGGAUUAAUACCUCAUAAUAUUAUUGGAUGGCAUCAUUUGAUAAUUAAAACUGCGGUGGUGAAAGAUGGGCAUGCGUCCUAUUAGCUAGUUGGAGUGGUAACGGCACCCCAAGGCUACGAUAGGUAGGGGUCCUGAGAGGGAGAUCCGCCACACUGGUACUGAGACAGGGACCAGACUCCUACGGGAGGCAGCAGUGAGGAAUAUUGGUCAAUGGUCGGAAGACUGAACCAGCCAUGCCGCGUGCAGGAAGAAUGCCUUAUGGGUUGUAAACUGCUUUUAUAUGGGAAGAAUAAGGCGUACGUGUACGUUGAUGACGGUACCAUAUGAAUAAGCAUCGGCUAACUCCGUG
rnacentral:rRNA from 1 species